CACCAGUCACCCCCUCCCUCUGUCACUAGUCACCCUCUCCCUCACUCUGUCACUAGAGUGAGUGGGUGACUAGUGACAGAGUGAGGGAGGGGAUGAUCAGUGACAGAGGGAGGGGGUGACUAGU